rnacentral:lncRNA from 1 species
UCUAUCGGGCUACUCCAAAUGCAUUCUGAGCUUCACUAUCAGUCAAUUUUCUACAAUGAUUGACUAUUCUCCGAAUCUCUUCCAAACUUCUUCUAGCCAUGAACAACUUUACUCCGAACUUCUUCCAGACUUCAUCAAUGUCCGAGCUUCUCCAAUAGCAGGACUUCUACAGUAACUAGACUCCAUCUAAGUUUCUACGAU